GGUCAGUGAUGAGCAGUAAAAGGUCUGAUUGCCCACAAUCCCCUCCUGCUGCCCUCUGGCUCCCAGCAGUCCUUGCUCUCUGCUCCCAUCAUGCUCUAGUAGUGCAGUGGUGGUCCCAGGAGCUGCUGACACAGACAGGAUGUGACAUCACAGAGUCUGUACAGAGAAACUAGGCUCAGUGAUGAUGACUGUCAUCCAACAGAACCAAUCAGCACGGAGUGUCAGGCGGAGGAGGAGGAGGGAGCUGAUCACAAGUUUUCAACCUGAGACC